UCUGGUUGUCACUAAUACAAGCCUCUAAUACAGAUUUAUAACACUUGUACUAAGAUAUCUUGUAUGCGAAAGUAAGCAUAAGAUAAUAAGAAACAAAUCUAGGUACGCUUGAAGUUUGUUCGUCACUACCUUGAUCUCCAUAAUGUCAAUGCAGUAAGAAAUGAUAUAUAAACUGCUACUCGACCCAAUACCUACACAAAGUGCAGAAAAUAAGAAAUAGAAUAGAAAAGGCAAGGGUGAGUAUGAAAAUCCCGGUGUACUCAGCAAACUGACCCUUAUCCAAAAUAAUGGUGAGUAUCACCACACCGGCUACCCAAUGUAACGCCCCAAAAUAUCCUUCCGAAAUGUCACACGGUGCUUAAGGUUACAAGUAGCCCCAAGCUAACCCUUUAAGCCUAUUACUACAUAUAAUAACUCAAUUCGAGAUGAAAUAAACAAAACACUGGUACUGUAUAUCAAAUGAUAGGAAAUACGAAGAAAAUACUCAGUCCAAACAACCACAAGAUUGGAAAUCUCAACAUACUAACAAUCUGAUAACUAGUCUGAUAAAGACUCUACUACUCAAGUCUACUAGAGAGCCAUUGGGACAGGUCCCAACUGACUCAAACUAAACUGAAAGCAAUAAUAUGUCUACUAACAAUACUGAAAUGUCUGAAGAUAGGUCCUCGAACCAUGAAGACUCACCACUGUAGAGAUGUAGACAAAGGUACUCAGAAAUCACUGACGAGGCUGGGACUGAGCACCUGAACCUACAUUGUAAGACAAUGUAGCACAUAGACGUAUAUGUGGAUCAGCACUUGGGAAUGUACUGAGUAUAUGGGGGUGUAUGCAUGUACAUAAAACAAUAUCCAUGCUCUUUAAUCAAAUCAUGCAUGCAAAUAUGAAUGACUCACAUAUCUUAAAUAAGUCUAAUAUAAUAAGUUCAUAAGUCAUGUAGAAUGAAGCAUGUAACACAAAUCUCGUGAGUCAUUACACUUUAGCUUUAAAAUCUGAACUCUUCUCUUAUUCUCAUUACUCGAAGACUAAAGAAAGCUUUAAACGAUACUUUCCAACUCAUGCAUAUAUCUCAUGGAUAGUAAAACUUCUUUAAUACUCAAGAACUUAGAACUCUUUUAUACUCAAGACACUUGGAACUCGAAAUUCUCUAACUCUUACUAGUAGAGAAAACUACUUUCUUCUUGGGAAAAUUUUACUUCAAGAAACUAUUUUGAAAAUCUUACUAUUAGGGAAAAUCACUUAUCUCAAAGCUUUAGGAAAAAUAUUCUAUCUCAAGGGAAAAUACUUUAGGGAGGUUCUCUUAACCGACAUAAACCAUGCGGGCUACAUGAAAUCCAACAUCUUGUCCUCCUAAGAAAGAAAUCUCACGUUGGGGAGAGGCGUCAUACUCUUGCCAGGGAGUAUAACCUCAACUCAGUGAUCACUUAUCUCGGCCCCGGGCCCAUAAAUCUCAAUCCUACGGUGGCACGUAGUUCUGGGGUAUGAAACCGUAGUAACUUACCCAACUCGGUGCUAAAUACUACUCCCUUUAGUUAGCUACGCUCAUCUCAGGAAAAUCCACUUUAAAAUAAUCUCGUGGUUCAUAAGAACCCAACUAUAAAAUUUGUGGUCUCAUUUGGUAAAAGUGGAUUUCAAAGCUACUAUGACCAUUAAGGUCAAAACUUUCUCAAUGAUCUCAAAAUACUCAAAUCAUGGGUGCGUAUAGCACAAAAGUUCAUAAAAACUGAAAUCUCAAGUAGGGUUUAAUGACCCAUAAUCAAAACUCAAGUUAAGACUCAUCAAAAUGCAUACUAGAUGUCAUAAGGAUACACAAAUCAUAUAGAAAUCUGGAAUGUUCAACAAUUUCACUUAAAAUCUCAACAUACUCAUGUACUUCAAUUUCUAGAACAUUGGCAAAUCUCAAAAUCUCAUGCAAAGUAAUGUUGGGUAUGAACCCACACUUCAAAUUCAUAGGAGAACUCAUAAAGUCAUGUAUCUUUGUAAUUUAAAACAAGUUUUGGGCACAAGGACGAAAGAAUUGUCCUUGUUCAAACCCCACAUACCUUAGAUUGUGAAACUAGAUGAACAACCUUUCUUAAAACUCUUCUUCUUACUCUUUGAGAGAGGUUCUUGAAGCCUUGGACAUGGGGAACUCGAAUCUCAACUCAAUUUGUAGAAUCUAUGGUGAGUUCUUGAAUUUCUUGGAGAAGGGUUUUGGGUUUGUUCUUGAUUUGUUCUUGAGGAAGAAACCCUAGCCUUUGGAUGUUUUGGGAGAUAAUGAAGUCAUAUGUUUCGUUUUGAAUAUAUCUAAGUGUUAAAAGGGGAAAAAGGCCAAAAAGUCCUUUUAAAACGACUUAAAAAUAAUGAACGGGAUUUGGACAGUCGGAGUGACGGUUCGUCGCUAGUCUGACGGUCCAUCGGAUCGUCCGUUGCACGUUGGUCAGAAAAAGGCCACAUUGCCUUAGUUGAGACGGUCCUAGCAAUGGUCCGUCGCUAGCUUGACGGUCCGUCGUCUUGGUGAUCGCACUUGGGCCAGAAGAGGGAGUCACUACCUUGGUUGCGAUGGUUCAAGCGACGGUCCAUCGCAAACUCGAUGGUCCGUCAACCUGUCCGUCGCACCUGGGCGGUUCCGACAACUCUUAGUAAAACGGCCAUAACUUCUCACCCCGAUACCGAAUUUGGACGAAAUUGAUAUCGUUGGAAAGCUAAUUCAAUUUUCUACAUGACAAAAAGUCAAUAUUAGGAAAAUUCUACACUGUUUAAAAUAUUUCUCACUUGGGAAGUCAGUCCUUACUCUUCUUAAAGAUGAAACUCGACUUAAAGAAAAUCCGGGGUAUUACACCCAAAAAAUCAAAUUAAUCUAAAACCCACUAAAACAUAAUACUUAAUCCUAUCAGGGUAACCUAAAACAACAAUUAACAAUCAUAACUAGAAUAAGAUAGGCCCUAUAACCUAAGUGAGUCAACCCUAGCCACUUCAUGAUCCACAGUUAGAGAGAAGUACUUAUACAAAAGACUCACUACACAAUAUAUACAUUUCAAACUCAACCAUAGGAUAUCAAUCAAUAAUUAUGGGAUCAAACAAGGAGAAAAUAUAUAAAAAUUCAAUAACAUAUCAUUGAAGGUGCAAUCCAACAAACUCUCAGAUUAAACCAUAGCCUUAACCCAAGUCUCAUAAUAUCUGAACCCCAAAUCCAUAUAAGAUGAUGUAAAGUAAUGCAAUAAAGUGAAAUAGAUUCUUAAAACACAAUAUCACAAACAAAUUUCUAGCAUGAUAAUACAGUACAAAAGUAAACACUAACACACUAUCAACCAUACCGAAAAGGAUAAUGUAAUGCAAUAUAGUGAUGAUAACAAGGACGAUGAUGGUGUGAUAUGCUCAAAGUUAUUGCAUAACCUCCGUAUACACCUACUGAGCACUACUCCCGAAGUAUGACCCAUGGGGGGUACGUAACCCAUAAAAUCUCAAUAACUAAUCUAGUCUCAGUUUUCAUAUCUCUUCACCGAUUUGUGAAUUUCGAUAGAGGGUUUCUGAAGGUGUCAUAUAUUUAUCAGAAAAAUCAGUAUUCACAAUCGUAUCAAUGUUUCAUAAAUGUAUGUAUGAUAUGAGGACGUAAUGUUCACAACCAAACCAGUAUAAAGAUCUUGAAUUCAUUUAUCACAUAUACAUAUGAGAUCAGAAUCCACUCAAUAAGUCAACCAUCCAUGAUUUAAUAUAAACAAUGUGCCAUUGGAACAAUCAUACACGUAAGUCAUCAUUAAUGUCAUUUUAAGCCCCCACUCGGGCAUUAUGUCAACUACCAAGGCACAAAAUGCACAUACAAGGUCAAUAAUAAUAAAUCCCCCACACAGGGGCAACACACAACGAAUAUCAUCUCAAGUCGCCAAAAAUAAUAAUAUAAGCCUCCACACAGUGUUACAAUAGUAGUGAUAGAUGAUUAAGACCCCACAUAGGUGUACAGACCUGAUUAAUUGCUCAAGUCCAUAAAAAUUUCACACAAGUUCCACAUGGCAACAUAGAAUAAUACAAAUCCUAAUAACAAUAUUUUGUGAAACUACCUAAACCUAGCUCGUUCAUACGUUAAGCCUUAAUGACUAAGAUAGGCUCAUUUAUACUCUAGGCAUUAUCUAAGGCCCGAUCAUUCUAUCAUUUCAAUAAUAACAUCGCUAAACAUUAAUCAUCACAAUAAAGGCCGUCGUACAAGUUCUAAAGCUCCAAAGUAAGCAUCCAAGAAUAAUAAUCCAAACGUAAGUUAUUAACUAAAAUCUAUUCUAAGGUUAUCUACAAGCAAUAAUACUAACUAACUAAGGAAAUAACUAACUACAGUCCAUUAUUAAGACUCUGGUACACGAAGAUGCUCACCAUGUCAUCUAAGAGGGACCCCAGCCUACAAAAAUCAUGAUAUACCGACAAUUAAGCAAAUAACACAUAAACACUUUGAAAAAAGAUCAAGGUAUAUUUCAAUUUGCCUAACUUAAGAUCCACAAAUUCAAAUUCUGCAUAAAUACCCAACCGGAAUCUCAAAUCCUUUGAAAUAUAUCCAACUAUGAGCAAUCUAUCAAAUAUGAUAUCUACACAUAAAAAAACCAAUGAUACCUAUAUUGACUAUAUUCAAGAUAGGUCUAAACACGUACCCCAAAAUGGGUUCAAGAACAAAAGGGGUAAAACCAUAAUUUUAUUUAGAAAUAUGUUCCUCAUACUCAUACGAAUCUACAACUGAAAACCCAUACGAAAAUGAGUUAAAAACGAGACUUAAAUCAAAGAAAAUCCAUUUUAAAGCUUUACCAGCAAAAAUUUCUAAAACCCAUUUUGAAAUCAAGAACUUUGAAGUUGUUUUGAAGAUGAAAUCAAGGGAAAAUGAUAAGUAUAAGAUUAGAAAACUUAUUAAUGGAAGAAAUCUCAAAAACUCCUUUUAAAUCGCCCAAAUCUGAGCUUUCAAGCCCCCAAAAUAGUAAAAAUGGGGUUUUGAUUCUCAACUUGGGUAGAAAUCACAAAAAUAAAAUAUAAGUUCUUGGUAAAUCGGAGAAAUGAAUUUAUAAAUUGAUAAACAAUGACUAUACGAGAAAAACACAUUGAGAAUCGUCCAAAUCAGAAUUUCCUAGCUCCAAAAAUGUCAAAAAUACGAAAUAGGUUCAUCUUGGGUCUUAUACAUCAACGAUGGUCACAAAUGUGACACAGAGUUGCUUUUGCGACCUGGUCAAAUGAUCAAAGUAUUGCUAAAGCGGUUAAAAGUUCCUUUUUGCGAUCACACCAGCACCAACAAUUUCAUAAACUUAUUUUUUACCCCCGAAACUCAUUCAAAACCCUAUGAACAUGAUUCAAUAGUGCAAAUUGAUUGUAAAACACUUUCCGAAUCUAGUAGAAUCAUCAAAUUUAUGAAAAAUGUCAUAAUCACAAAAUUGACUCCCGUUUACACUAUUACAAACCAACCUUACUUCUAACCCAAUUUUAUUCUGAAUCAACUAAUGUAGUUUGUUUUGUCAUUCGGGUCUCGAAUCUCGAUAUAUUGACCAAAACCAACUAUUAUCUCUUAAAGCCUCAAAAUGACCUCCACUCACUCAAAACCUUCCCAAAGGACUUGAGAACCGUGCCAACUAUUCCGCAGCCUAUAAAACAGAUAGCACAACCAUGGAGAGGGGUGAAAUGAUCAAAACACAUAAAAGGAAAAAUCAUCCAAAUUGAGGUAAUUACAAUAUCCACCACUGAGAUUCAUGAUUGUCCUCAAAGUACAAGAAAGAAAGCCAAAAAAGUAAAGGGUGAAAAAAUACUAACAAAAAACAUCAACAAACACUCCAAUAUGGAGUCACAACCAUAGAACUACCAGUCACACCAUGUAGCCAGAAAUCUAUCAUAUAAGGACUCACCAGGUUAUAACACAAGCAUCAACAAGUUAAAUCGUCAAUAAAGCCAAAUUUCUAAUAUUGAAACUUCCUCUAUCUCAAUGACUAAGUCCAACACAACAAAAGUUUGAGAGAUGCACGACUAAUUUUAAACCUGACCAAGGCAACACUAGACACUGGCUACAACCACAAGACCAAAAAUCAUCCUUGGACCACAAAAUCCAAGGAAUCCAUAAAACACAAAACUACCCAUCAAAACUCUAGCUCAACCUACCUGAGGCCGAUAGUAUCACUAUCAACUCACACAAUGCUAUAGCUACAGAAAAAACUGCAAAGAUGAAAUCCAAUCUCAAAACUAUACCAAAACUUAAAAGACCACACUUAGCACUCAUAGGCCACUAAUCCACCAUCACACCCUUAUUCUCAACCCUUAAGUUAGGCGAAAAACACUAAUAAAACUCUCUAUGCCAAGGAUGUGAUAUUUUUGAAAGACAUCAAAUAUACAUGCAACCCAUCAUGAUGCCACAUGCAGUCCUCAAUAUUCAAAAACCAUCAAACAACCUGAAGUCCUAAAAACUUUGAUGUCUAUAUACCAUGGACACAAAAUCUAUAAAAAAAAACACAGAAUGCUUAAGCAACUCAUCAUAAUAUUCCAUGCAAUCAUUAGUGCUCAAGUGACAUCAGUCAUAAUUUGAUAGACAAAAGCCUCUAUAACUGCACACACAUAAGUAACCUGUUACAAUAGAGUCAAUCAAAUCAUGGAGAAAAUGCAACAACUACUAUAACUCUCUAAAAAAUUCUCAAAUCUCAAUCAAAACUCGGGAGGAGUCACCACUAGACUCUGCACAGCUACCAGUGAACUGCCUUAUAAAACCUCAAAUUUCUACCUCAUGCCCGCAGCUAAAUGCCGAAUAUAACAAAUUUACUUAAGCAUGAAGAUCUUUAUCUUUUUCUUAACUCUUGUCCCAUUCAGUAACCCUUAAUAUAAAAAUCGUAAAUUAAUAAGAUAUAACUUCAACCUUCUCAAUUCCCAUUCAUCAUUGCUUGACACAACAUCCACAAAAAUAAUACAUACUCAAAUCAAAGCUUAUAAGAAAAAUAUUCCCCCAAGCGACUUAGCUACAAGAGUAACGAAUGCUACACACUAGGUACCUAUUUUCAUACAAAAAUCUUCCCCAAGCAAAAAGCAAAAGUCUUCAUGAGCUGAAUUCUUCAAUUGGAUCGAAGAGUGUCUCGAUACCAAAUAUCUUAUCCAAGCAAGCAAAAUCUAAAUAAUAAGGAAGUAGCAAAUCACAAGGCCCAAAUGCCUGAAAUAUUUUCUUAACCAACAAAAAUUCUUUACUCACCAUCCUUUCAACUCUAGCAUACCACAAGUCUAGGCUAUUACUAGGUCUACAACUAAUGAGUACCACUAGGCACGCUACAAUCCGUGAUGCCAAAACCAUAAGAUCAAAUCAUUCAGCAUUCUAAAAGUACACAAACACCUUAGAAUAGAUCCACCACUACUUCAGAAAAUAACCAUCACGAACACUAUAUCAAAGAAAUUUCUCCAAACUCAGUGAUAAACUUUGAAUGAGUUUCCAACAUAGGAUCGGCACACCCGAUCCACCACUAAGAAAAUAUCUAUGGGUAGCAAACAUCAAAAACUCCAGCAACAACGACAAAUCAUACCAAGACCCAAAUUUGAACAAAUAAAUAGAUAGGAAAAUAUAGAACCACAGUCAAACAUCACUAAGGCAUAACAAAGGUAUACCAAGAACCAUACAUGUGGUUACUGCCGCACUUUAUUUCUCGUAAAAGUGAGAUUCGAUAUGACAACUCUUUUUGGGAUGAUUUAAGAGUGAAGAGUCACCACCUGAUGAAUUAAGGUGCAUUAGGGCACCAUUCUAAGCUAAUUAUGAACCAGGUAAUUAGUCUACGUCACUAAAGUUUGGGCAAGGGUUCAAAUUACCUCAAAAGCAAGGUGUUAGGCACCUUUCAAUGUCCACAAAUGUGGUUUCUGACUAAAUUCAUAUUAUACGCGGGGGAUUCUACGUGAUUAACAAAAGGUCAUUGUAAUACCCCGCAAAAUACUAGCUUAACUCAGCCCUUUAGAGCAUGAAAAGAGGCCCAAAACUUAGAAAUUUUAGCUAAGUGUUUAUACUUAAAAUUAUUUUUAGCCUUCAUAAUUUGGUGAUCUCAUUUUACGACCCUUAUAACCUUAAAAUGUCAAUCUUUGGAUUGAAUCAUGAUCAGGUAUGCCAAUAGGUCACUUCGGGUGAGUUUCAAAUUUUUUGAACAUCGUUUGAAGCAUGUUAGGGUGACCAAAAUAGUGGGUCGAUGCAAUCUCGACGUGUCACAUCGCCCAUCGCAUAGACGAAUAUUUUCCCCAGCACUGAGUGCAAAUUUCAGUAACCCAACACGAACUCAACGCGGUGUGUCAGCCAUCGUAUCGACACCAUCAAUGCGGUGUGUCGAUAUGUGCGUUGCUGGGCACGUUUUUAGAAAUUAAAAACCUACAUCCAGAGGGGUAAUUAGGUCUUUUACCCACCCUUAUUCAGCCCCAAAAACACGAGAUUAACCUACGCUAAAGGCUAAAUCACUCAUUCUAUCUCAAAUUUUCUCAAGAACAAACCCUUGGGCAUCCAAUUUCAAAUUUAAUCUCCAAGAACACACCACCAAUCUUCACAAAUUUGAUUACCAAGGUAUGUUAGGUGUUCAUCCAAGGGUUUCCUUCCACCCUUGGAGUUCAAGAACCUCUUUUUUAAACUACAAGUUGAUUGAUUUCAUGAAUUCCAUGUUGAAUUCGAUUUUAUUCAUGAUUAUGAUGUUAUUUGGGUUUUUAAUCUAUGAUUUAUUACAAGCUUCAUGUGAAGUAAUUAAUAUGUGUGUAGUGUUAUGUAGAUUUAUGUUAAAAGCCCCUUGAAUUUGUGAGUUCAAAUUGUGAUCAUGAUGCUUGCAUGUUGGUUAUUAUUAUGUGCAUAAAUUAUGCUCCCUAAGUGUUUGAUAAAACGUUCAUGUGAGUUGAAGGGUGAAAUCAUGACAUAAUAGUAUGUGCACAAGUUCAUGCCUCUCAAGUGUUUGACAAAAGUUCUAAAUGAAAGCAUUCUUAACAAGCUACUAUUGUUAUGCUAUUAUGACCAUGCCAUGUUUUACUUUCAAUGCUAUCGAGUCCUGGGAGUAUCCAAUACUCAAAAUCUAGCUUUUUACCUAGAAUUUUAGUAGCUACAAAAUAGUCUCAGUAAUGUCACGAAUAGUAGUACUCAAUCAGUUAUAGAACUCAGUGAACUCAGUCCAGUUCAGUUAGACAUCACGAUCAAUAACAGUUCAGCCAAGCCUAGAAUAGUCUAGAAAAUAGUUCAGUGUCUAUUCAGUUGGGAGUAGGAAUCAACACCGAGUGAACCCAGGGAUGGGGGUAUUUCUGCCAGUAGAGGGUUUGACCCUUAAUAGUAAUCCCUGCAUUGUAGAACUAUGUAGCCAGCGUAGGUUGAGAUAUCUUCCUGUCAGACAAGGGUUGAUACAUCUCGUACGAGUUUUCCUGCUAGUGAGGGUUGACAAUUGUUUUCCUACCAGAUAUGGUUAACUCACAACCAAUGUUAGUAUCCCUUGGUAAGGUGCUAACACCCUUCCAAUUGGGGUCACUGGUUGGACCCCAGCUCAGUUUAUAAUCAGGGUAUAUUGGUUAGAUAAACACCCCCACCUUUACAGUUUUAGUUUCAAACUUAGUAUAGAACUCAAUUCAGUUCUACAGAAUCAAAACUGUCAGACAUAGUCACCUAGCUCAGUAUAGAACUCAAUUUAGUUCUAUAGGAUCAGUACUGUUAAAAACAGUCACCCAGCUACCAGUAAUACAGUUAUCAGAAAAAUUUAGAUAUCAGUCAUUUAGUUAUCAGAACUCAGAUCUCAGUUACAGUAUAUGUAGUUAUGUGCACAGUAUUGUAUAAUCAGUGUUUUAGCAAUUUUAGUCAUAAAUGUACUCUCAUCCAGUUAUAUUCAUAUUAUUCAGCCAGUUAUUGUUCAUGCAUAUGAACCCUUGCAUAUCAGCCUACCUCACUUAGCAUACCAGUAUAUUUAAAAUACUAAUGCAUACUCUUUCUUUUGCGCUAUGAUGUCUUAAUCAUAGGUUCAGAUGCAAAGGCUCCUGGCCGUACUUAGCAACUCAGACUAUCAACAGCAGAUAUAGUGGUGAGUUCUUAUAGUUUGAGGAUAGAGUUAUCAUUUUAGUUUUUUUUUUUAGUAGUUCAGUAUGUUCAGUAGUCGGAGUUAGUUGGAGACUUGUCCCAUCAACUCCAUAUUCAAACAGUUAGAGGCUUUCAGACUAGACUAUUUCAGAUAUAUGUUUAGUCUUUAGUAUUCAUUUAUCAUUAUUCACUUUCAGUUGUGAAUCUUAUGGCAAAUUUCAGCCUAAUUUCUGUAUUACUUCGGUAUUAUUAUGCAGUGUAUAUAGCAGGUACCAGUCAUGGGUUAGCUUGUGGUCCUUCAGGAUUGUAAACACCGUGUCACGCCCAGGGUACAGACUUGGGGUACUACAAAUUUGGUAUCAGAUCCCAAGGUUCAACAAAUUCUUAGGGAGUCUGAAAGCCGCGUCUAGUAGGGUCUUGUGCAUAGGUGUGUAGUGUGCCACACUUAUGGACAAGAGGAUAUGAGGUAUUUUAUGAAUAAGUUCCUUUCUUUCAGUAUUCAUAUCGUGCGAGUGAGCAUGAGCUCAAAUUAAACUUUCUAUCUAAUCCAAUGUUUCUUUCUAUUUAUAGAAUAUGCCUCCAAAAAGGACUAAUGGAAGAAGAAUUGGAAAUCAGCCAGCACCUUCGCCCGUUCAGGCAGAUCCCCUGGACGAGCAUGUCUCCCAUACAGAAUUCAGAGAAACUUUCACCACUCUAGCUCAUUCUGUAGCAGCCCAGAAUGAACUCCCAGUUGCCGUUCAGGCCAACUAAGUGGCCACUACUGCUGCAGCUAGAAUUCGGGAAUUCACCCAAAUGAAAUAUCCUUUAUAGGGUCUAAGCUUGAGGAGAACCCACAGGAAUUCCUUGAAAUGGUGCAGAAAGUCACAGAUAUCAUCGAGGCGACUUCUAGUGAGAGUGUUGAGUUAGUUGUAUAUCAAUUAUAGGAUGUGGAUCAUACUGGUUUAAGCAGUGGAAGGUAGAUAGGGGUGCAAAUGCAGGGCCCGUAGAAUAUGAGGAGUUUGCUACUAUUUUCCUUGAUAGGUUCUUCCCACUAGAGUUGAGGGAAACUAAGGUUUUGGAGUUUAUUAAUCGGAAACAGGGCAAUAUGACAGUGAAAGAGUAUUCUUUCAAGUUUACUCAGUUAGCCAGAUAUGCCCCUCAUGUGGUAGUAGAUAGCAGAUCUAAGAUGAGUAAGUUUGUGUCAGGUGUGUCUAACAGUAUGGUCAAGGAGUGUAGGACCAUAAUGCUGAUUAAGGAGAUGGACAUAUCUAGGAUCAUGGUCCAUGCACAGUAGAUAGAAGAGGCUAAAAAUAAGGAUAAGAAGAGGAAGAAUAAGAGAGCUAGAAUAGGUAGCUUCAACUUUACUUAGCCCAAGUUAGAGAGUGGUAAUCAUUCUUAGUUCUGCCCAAAAUCUUCAUUUCCAGCUCUGUCCUCAGUCAGUGCUUCAGUGCCAAAAUUCAGAGAUGGCAAUAAAGAUAAGGCACCAGGCCCUAAACCCUAGGGUAGUGUUAGUAGUUUCUGAACAAAUAUUCUUCGCCAGAAUUGCGGCAGAAACCAUCAGGAUGUCUGUCGAGCUGGCAGUGAUGUAUGUUUUGGAUAUGGCAAGCCAGGACAAAGGGUCAGAGAAUGUCCUCAGGUGGGUUCGCAGAGUCAGCAUAAUCGUCCCCCAGCUUAGACCGAUCACCCGAAUCAGCAGGGUGCCACUUCUAGUGCCCCCAGUGGGCAACACCCAAACAAACUCUAUGCACUUUAAUCCCAAAAAAAUCAGGAAAGUUAUCCUGAUGUGGACACUAGUAUGUUACAAGUUUAUCAUUUACAUGUUUAUGCUUUUCUAGAUCCAGGAGCUUCUUUGUUCUUUGUAACUCCUUAUACAACUGUUGACUUUGGAGUCAGUCCCAAAAUCCUAGUAGAGCCUUUCUCAAUCUCUACCCAGUAGGUAAAUCUAUCAUAGUCCAGCGAGUAUACAGGAAUUGUCCGAUUAUGGUAUCUCAGAAAGUUACUUCAGCAGACUUAGUAAAGUUAGAGAUGACAGAUUUUGACGUCAUUCUCGGCAUGGAUUGGCUUCAUUCAUGCUAUGCUUCAGUUGACUGCAGAAAUAGAGUUGUCUAUUUUCAGUUUUCGAAUAAACCUAUCCUAGAAUGGAGGGGUAGUACUUCAGCACUUAGGGUUUAGCUUAUUUCCUACCUAAGGGCGAGGAAAAUGAUAUCCAAGGGGUGCAUCUACCAUCUUGUUUGAGUUAAGGAUUUUAGUUCCGAGACUCCUAGUCUUAAGUCAGUUCUAGUAGCAUGUAAAUUUUUAGAUGUGUCUCCUGAAGAUCUUCCUAGAGUUCCUCUCAAGAAAGAAAUUGACUUCAGAAUAUACCUUUCUGAUACUCAGGCUAUCUCUAUCCCUCCAUAUAGAAUGGCCCUAGUAGAACUCAAAGAGUUAAAAGAACAGUUGAAGGAUCACCUAGAUAAGUGAUUCAUCAGAUCCAGCGCAUCUCUUUGGGGUGUACCAAUUCUAUUUGUGUGUAAGAAAGACGGUUCUCUCAGAAUAUGUAUUAACUACUGUCAGUUGAACAAAGUCACAGUCAAGAACAAGUAUCCACUUCCCAAAAUUAAUGACUUGUUUGACCAACUUCAGGGUGCCAAUUACUUUUCUAAGAUAAACCUUAGAUCAGGAUAUCAUCAGCUCAGACUAAGAGAAUGUGACAUUUCAAAAAUAGUCGUCAAACCUUGGUAUGGUCACUUUGAAUUCCUAGUCAUGUUAUUUGGUCUUACCAAUGCCCCAGCAGCUUUCAUGGACUUGAUGAACCAUGUGAUCAAGUAGUACUUGAACAUAUUUGUCAUAGUCUUCAUUGAUAACAUUCUUUUCUACUCUUGCAGUGAACAUGAUCAUGCAAACCAUCUCAGAAUAGUGUUACAGACCCUCAGAGCCCAUCAGUUCUUCACCAAAUUCAGUAAAUGUGAAUUUUGGCUAAGGUUUGUAGCUUUUCUUGGUCAUAUCAUUUUCGGUGAUGGCAUUAGAUUUGACCCUUAAAAGACCGAAGUAAUGAGAAACUGGCCUAGACCCAUCUCUCCAUUAGAUAUCAGGUGUUUCUUAGGUUUGGCUGGCUAUUACCGACGAUUUGUGAAAAGGUUUUUAUCUAUUGCAUCCCCGAUGUCCAGAUUGACUCAGAAGAAAGUUAAGUUCCAGUGGUCAGACUCUUUUGAGAAAAGUUUUCAGGAGUUGAAGACUCGACUCACUACAACCCCAGUUUUGAAUUUAUCAGAUGGUUCGAUACUUCCAGAGUUGGCUUGGGGUGUGUUUUGAGGCAGAGAGGUAAGGUCAUAGCCUAUGCCUCUAGAUAACUUAAGCCCAUGAAAAGAACUAUACCACUCAUGAUCUUAAGUUAGCAGCUGUUGUGUUUGCCUUAAAGAUUUGGAGGCACUAUUUGUAUGGAGUACAUGUGGAUGUGUUCACAGACCAUAAAAGCCUGUAGUAUGUGUUUUCUCAGAAAAAUAAGAACCUACGUCAGAUAAGGUGGUUAGAGUUAUUGAAAGAUUACGACAUAAGUGUUCUGUAUCAUCCGAGCAAGGCCAAUGUAAUGGCUAAUGCUCUCAGUAGGAUAUUUAUGGGUAGUGUUGCUCACAUGGUAGAUAGUAAGAGGAAGUUAGUUCGAAAAGUUCAUCAGUUUGCCCGACUAGGUGUCUGCUUAGUCGAUUCAGCAGAGGGUAGUGUUUGUGUGCAGAAUAGAUUGGAAUCAUCUCUAGUUUUUGAAUUAAAAGAAAAGCAGGACAGGGAUCCCAGUUUAGUUAAACUGAAAGAGUCAGUCAGAGAUCAGGAAGUAGAAGUUUUCUCCCAAUGGGAAGAUAUUGUGUUACGCUACCAGGGUACACUAUGUGUGUCAUAUGUGGAUGGUGUAAGACAACAGAUUCUUGCAUAAGCGCAUUGUGCGCGCUACUCGAUUCACCCCAGGGCCACCAAGAUGUACUGCAACUUAUGAGAAAUCUAUUGGUGGAGUGGGAUGAAGAGGAACACUACAGAGUUUGUAGCUAAGUGCUCAACAUGUCAGCAGGUCAAGAUCGAGCAUCAAAAUCCUAGUGGGUCUAUGCGGGAGUUUAGUAUUUCCACUUGGAAGUGGGAGAAAGUGAACAUGGAUUUUGUGAUGGGUUUACCCCAUACUCGUUGCCAGCAUGAUUUGAUUUGGGUCAUUGUGGAUAGGAUGACCAAAUCAUCUCAUUUCUUACCAGUUCAUAACUCUUAUUCAGCCGAGGAUUAUGCCAAGCUUUAUGUCAGAGAGUUGGUUAGAUUGCACGGAGUUUUGUUGUCCAUUAGUUCAGAUAGAGGUAUGCAGUUCACCUCUCACUUUUGGAAAGCCUUCCAAAAGGGUCUUGAUACCCAAGUUCACCUUAGUACAACCUUCCAUCCUCGGACAGAUGGUCAAGCAGAAAGAACCAUCCAGACUCUAGAAGAUAUGUUAAAAGCGUGUGCCAUCGACUUUAAGGGUAGUUGGGAUGACCACUUGCCUUUGAUUGAGUUUGUGUAUAAUAACAUCUAUCACUCUGGCAUUCAGAUGGUUCUGUUUGAGGCGCUCUAUGGGAGGAGACGUGUAGUCUCCCGUUAGUUGUUUUAAAUGGGGUGAGACCGCUAUGGUAGGGCCUGACUUAGUAUUUGAUGCCUUAAAAAAAGUUCAGUAUAUCAGGGAAAGGCUUAAGACAGCUCAGAGCCUACAAAAAUUGUAUGUAGAUGUGCAAAGAAAAGAUUUCGAGUUUGAGAUUGCUGAUUUUGUGUAUUUGAAACUCUCACCUAUGAAGGGAGUGAAGAGGUUUGGCAAGAAGGGGAAACUCAGUCCCUGAUAUAUCGGUCCUUACCGAAUCCUCAGUCGUUUGGGAAAGGUAGCUUACGAGCUCGAGUUGCCUUCAGACUUAGCUUCAGUGCACUGAGUGUUUCACGUCUCCUUGAUUAAGAAAUGCAUUGGUGACCCAGUAGUUGUAAUCCCUACAGAGGGUAUAGAUGUUCAGAACAGUCUCUCUUAUGAAGAAGUUCCAGUCAAAAUUCUUGAUCAUCAGGUUUGCAGACUGAGAAACAAAGAAGUUCCUCUAGUCAAAGUUCUUUGGCAGAACAGUCUGUUGAGGGAGCUACUUGGGAAGCAGAAGCAGAUAUGCGGACCAGUAUCCUCACCUCUUCUCCGCAAACUCAGACUCAGCUCAAGGUAAUAGUUUUCCUUAAAUUACUCAGUUCCAUGCUCAGAUUACCUUUACAAACUUGGUAACAUUCUCAUAUCAUGCAUACCUUCAUGAAACAGCUCAGUCAUGUGUCAUGUCUUCAGAAUUCAGUCAUGCUUCAGUUAUGCAUGUUCAGUAUAAAAACCCAGUAUAUCAGUAGUUUCAGUCAUGAAAUCAUGCUUCAGUUGUGCAUGUUCAGCAUGUAAAUUCAUUCUAUCAGUAUUCUCAACUUAGUCGGUCUAAUUCAAGAAUGAAUAUUUCCAAGGAGGAGAUAUUGUAAGACCCUACAAAAUCCUAGCUUAACUCAGUCCUUUAAAAUAUGAAAAGAGGUUCCAGACUUAGAAAUUACAGCUAAGUGUUUAUGCUUAGAAUUAAUUUUAGCCUUCAUAAUUUGGCAAUCUUAUUUUAUGACCCUUAUGACCUUAAAAUGUCAAUCUUUUGAUUUAAUAAUGAUCAAGUGUGUCAAUAGGUCACUUCGGGUGAGUUUCGAAUUUUUCGAACAUCGUUUGAAGCAUAUUUGGGUGACCAAAAUAGUGGAUCGACGCGAUCUUGACGCGUUGCAUCGCCUAUCGAAUAUUUUCCCCAACACUCAAUGUAAAUUCCAGUGACCCAACGCAAACGCGAUGUGGUACGUCGGCCAUUGCGUUGACACCAUCAAUGCGACAUGUCGAUAUGCGCAUCGCUGGGCACAUUUUUAGUAAUUAAAAACCCACGUCCAGGGGGUAAUUGGGCCUUUUACCCACCCUUAUUCAGCCCCAAAAAUACGAGAUUAACCUACCCUAAAGGCUAAAUCACUCAUUCUCUCUCAAAUUUUCUCAAGAACAAACGUUAGAGCAUCAAAUUUCAAAUUCAAUCUUCAAGAACACACCAUCAAUCUUCACGAAUUUGAUUACCAAGGUAUGUUAGGUGUCCAUCCAGGAGUUUCCUUCCACCUUUGGAUUUCAAGAACCUCUUUUAAAACUACAAGUUGAUUGAUUUCAUGAAUUUCAUGUUGAAUUCGAUAGUAUUCAUGAUUAUGAUUUUUUUGGGUUUCUAAUCCAUGAUUUAUUACAAGUUUCGUUUGAAGUAAUUAAUAUGUGUGUAGUGUUAUGUGGAUUUAUGUUAAAAUCCCCUUAAAUUUGUGAGUUGGGAUUGUGAUCAUGAUGCUUACAUGUUGAUUAUUAUUAUGCGCAUAAAUUAUGCUCCCCAGGUGUUUGAUAAAAUAUUCAUGUAAGUUGAAGGGUGAAAUCAUGACAUAAUAGUAUGUGCACAAGUUCAUGCCUCUCAAGUGUUUGACAAAAGAUCUAAAUGAAAGCAUUGUUAACAAGCUACUAUUGUUAUGUUAUUAUGACCAUGCCAUGUUUUACUUUCAAUGCUAUUAGGUCCUGGGGGUAUCCAAUACCCAAAAUCUAGCUGUUUACCUAGAAUUUUAGUAGCUACAGAAUAGUCUCAGUAAUGUCACAACCAGUAGUACUCAGUUAGUUACAGAACUCAGUGAACUCAGUCUAGUUUAAUUAGACCUCACAAUCAAUAACAGUUCAAUCAAGCCUAGAACAGUCUAGAAAUCAAUUCAAUAUCUAUUCAGUUGGGAGUAGAAAUCAGCACCAAGCGAACCCAAAGAUAGGGGUAUUCUUGCCAGUAGAGGGUUUGAACCUUAGUAGCAAUCCCUGCGUUAUAGAACUGUGUAUCUAACAUAGGUUGAGAUAUUUUUCUGCCAGACAAGGGUUGAUACAUCUCGUACGAGUUUUCCUGCCAGUGAGGGUUGACGAAUUGUCUUUCUGCCAGAUAGCGUUAACUCACAGCUAAUGUUAGUAUCUCUUAGCAACGUGCUAACAUCCUUCUAACUGGGAUCACAGGUUGGACCCCAACUCAGUUUAUAAUCGGGUGUGUCGGUUAGAUAAACACUCCCGUUGUUACAGUUUCAAUUUCAAACUCAGUAUAGAACUCAAUUUAGUACUACAGAAUCAAGACUUUCAGACACAAUCACCCAGCUCAGUAGAGAACUCAGUUCAGUUCUACAGGAUCAGGACUGUCAGAAACAGUCACCCAGCUAUCAGUAAUGCAGUUAUCAGAAAAACUCAGAUAUCACUCAUUUAGUUAUCAGAACUCAGUACCCAGUAUUAUUAUGAUCUCAGUUAUAGUAUAUGUAGUUAUGUGCACAGUAUUGCAUAAUCAGUGUUUCAACAGUUUUAGUCAUGCAUGUACUCUCAUCUAGUUAUAUUCAUAGUAUUCAGCCAGUUAUUAUUCAUGCAUAUGAACCCUUGCAUAUCAGUCUACCUCACUUAGCAUACCAGUACAUUCAAAGUACUAACACAUACUCUUUAUUUUGCGCUAUGAUGUCUUAUAUCAUAGGUUCAGACGCACGGGCUCCUGACCGUACUUAGCAGCUCAGACUAUCUGCAACAGAUAUAGUGGUGAGUCCUCAUAGUUCGAGGACAGAGUUAUCAUUUCAAUUUUAUUUUCAGUAAUUCAGUAUGUUCAAUAGUCGGAGUUAGUUGGGGACUUGUCCCAUCAACUCCAUAUUUAAACAGUUAGAGGCUUUCAGACUAAGACUAUUUCAGACAGAUGUUCAGUUUUCAGUAUUCAUUUAUCAGAAUUCAAUUUCAGUUGGGAACUUUAUGGCAAAUUUCAUCCCAAUUUCCGAAUUUCUUCAGUAUUAUUAUGCAGUGUAUAUAGCAGCUACCAGUCAUGAAUUAGCUUAUGGUCCUUCGAGAUUGUAAGCACCGUUUUAUGCUCAGGGUACAGACUCAAGGUAUUACAGUCACUUAUCUAUUAACUUAAUAUUACUAAGUGAUAAAAUAAUAAUCAAACAAGACGCGCAACUUAGCUAUUUUUUAAAUUACUAAUUAUCUAAGUGAGAGAAUAUUACAUAAAGAUAAAUCAGGCAAGCAAAGAGAGAGAAAUGACAUAGUCAAUAUAACAAAGGUAUUUUCUAAAUAAGAGGACCUAAACUACCCCAAAUAAUUAAAAUAUUCAAAGUGGGUAAAAGAACCGACAAAUUCAACAGGUUGGACAAAAAUUUAUUAUUUUUAUUCAAAUCAACACGCAUCUUAUUAACGGGAGUCACAUUAUCGAAUCAUGCUCUGGUCAACUUUCAUUAUUUUUUAAAGUCUAUCCACCUUCCUCCUCCCCCUUACCUAAUUUGUUUAUUAAGCUUAGAGACAAUCUAAAUGAAAUGAUAAAACUAGUUUUCCCUAAAAUCCCUAAAUGUCCAAGAGGCAUUGAACUUUUUACUUUGAAUUUGGGAUCUAGACAAAGAAAAUUAGGCUUUCGAGUUAGACUCAAGGUUCUAGUUAAACACAUUGGACAACACGUAGCACAAAAUCGUCUCAAAUAAAGUCUCUUGAUUAGUUAAGAGUAGAUUAGGUGAUUAAAAUUAUGACAAGCAAUUAUUUAUUUUGUAAUGAAACCCAUAGUCAUGAUAUCUAAAAUUAUCAAACAACCAAUUAAUGUCAGAAAUUAAUUAGUUAAAUCCUAUAUGCAUGAUACAAAGUGAUAAAUAUUUGCUUAUCAUUUUCGAAAAAUAAUUAUUAAAUCAUUUCAAAAUAAUGUGUGAAAUUUUUAAAACUAAAAAGCAUGUCAAGUUAAGUUAAUAUGUUCGCGAAUUAGAUCAAUCUCACCAUAAAGGAAAUAAAUUAGACAUGUUGAAAAUUAGUCAACAAAAAGGCUGGAAAAUACAUUUAAAUGCUGGACGUUAAAAUUAAAUACUGGAAAUGAAAGUUAUAUAGAAUGAAGUUUUAAUGGUGAAAAUACUAUUUAAAUGCCGAAAGUUAAAAUUUAGUUGCUGAAAAUUUCAUUUAAAGGCUAAAAAAUAAUUUUAAUUGCUGAAAAAAUAAUUUUAUAUUGCUUGAAUUCAUUUCUUAAAUGCUGGAGAUUCAUUUUAACAUGGUAGAAAAAGUAAUUUAAUAUACUGAAACUCAUUAUUUAGUUGCUAGAAAAUAAACUAAAUACUGUGGAAAAUGAAUUAAAGUGCAGGAAUUUUAAUUUUACCGCUGACAAAUAAAUUAAAUAUGUUGAAAGUUGAUUUAAAUGCUAGGUAAUAAAUUAAAGUGCUAAAACUUGAUUUAAAUGCUGACAAAUGGGUCAAAUAUGCUGAAAACUAAUUUAGUCUCUAGAAAAUAAAUUAAAGUUCUGAAAAUAAAUCAAAUGUGCUAAAAAAAUUAGUUAAACACGUUAUAAGUUAAAGUUGAUAUGCUCGAAGUCGAUUUUAAUUUGUAAAGUUAAUUAUUAACCUAAAACAUGCUUUCUAGGCGACAAACAUAUCAUUUAAUAAUUCCUAAAUUACAUUUGCCUAAGUGAUUCACAUAAUCACGUAAAGCCCGUAAACCCCGCCCCCUACCAGUCCCAUAAUUUUUAUUAUCAAUACGUCAUUUGUACAAUAAAUUAUUUCAGACCCAUAGAAAAAAAGCGCAAAAGAGAUUAAAAAAAACAUAAGAAACUAGACAACAUUUCCAAUUUCUCGGUGAGUCUUCAUCCACGCCGAAGGCUAGAUAGUAUCUGUAGGACAAAGGCAGCUUAUCCCAAAUGCACAACAAACAAACAUAUGGAGAAACAAUGAAUUCACCAACAUGUCACAUAAACAACUUUAUAGAGUUUAGAAGGCAAACAGGACAGACACUCAAAAUUAUCAUGUAAUAAGCAAAUGCGUCGUCUAAGGAAACUAACCAGUUUGUAGCAAUAAGCAGUUAAAUAAAAGUCUGAAAAUCAGCACUUUGACCUACACACAGCAGUUGUAGUGAAUAAGACACCGAUCCAAAAUUCCUUUUAAUAAUACUUACCUGAGACAAAAGAACUGAAGAGUAUUUUUAUUUCUUUUGUAUAGAGCAAAGAUAGUUAAAAACUUGGUCUUGUAAUAGCCGAUGAAAAAGUAGAUGAAAAGGGAAGAUGAGGGGGUUCACAUAGCUAAACAACAAUAACAACACAACCAGUAUAUUUCCACAAAGUACGGUGAUUUAUAUAGCUAAGGGUCAGGAAAAUAAAAGGAAGGAGAUUAUUUUAUAGAUCAAUUAAGAAAAAAUAAACAUCUCCGAUUUACCUUAAAAGACAAGUCAGAAUAUAUAUUCAAAUUCAAGAGUAGGGUAAAAAUAUUAAUCAAGCUGUAAAAAUAGGGAUACAGAUGGAUAUUUUCCAUAUACAAUUAAAAACACAGUCACAUCAAACUGGUACAAAACAGGUCCAAUUUACCAUAAUUCAGAGUAACCAUCUACUCAGAAUAAAAUCCAGAUGCUUAGCAGGCAAAAAUCACAAUAUACCAAAAGAAUUAAUAUACUAUUGUAAUUAUGCGAGUAAUUCAAUCAACCGAGUCAAAUUUUUAGAAUCAAAGUUGUGAGGUUACCACGACAGUAGACAAUGGAAUUGCAUGCCUAGGAAAAUCGAUCCCUAAUAUUAAAUAAAAUCUAGGGUUGACGAAAAUUCACAAAAAUUAGGCAUUCUUGCAUAUGUUGAUCUAAACACAUAAACACAUACGAAAUUGAAAGAAUCAAUUCAAAAUUCACAGUCAUAUUUCAUUAAUUUUUAAAUCCAAAGAAAAAAAUCAGUCAGGGGAAAAAUGGGUAGAAAGAGGAAAUUCACAUAUAGCAACAAGCCUGAGACGGAUUCCGAGAUUCAUCAUGGACUUUACUCUUUUUCGACGUCAGUUGGCCGUAGUUUGGAAUAGCAUCGUGGGUAUGGUGUUGUUUUCCAGCGGAGAAUGAUAGACACUUUCCGAAACCCUGUUAGAAAGGUGGCGGCGAUAGGCGGUUCACUGGCUACCGAUGAACGGAGCGACGACUUUUAUUGGAGUUUUGUCAAUUGAGUGGCAACCAUUGGUUGAAGGCAGCGACUGGGAACAUAGAAGUGGGGGCGAGUGUGGUCGCCUUCAACAGCUAGAGCGAAGCAAGGAAGACAGAAGGCUCCGGAGUGGCUCGCUGACCUAAGUCUCAGCUGGAGAAGGAUAUGGUGCUAUCGGAUUCUAGAGAGAAAGAGAGAAAGAGAGGAGAGAAGGGGUUGGCGAUGGGUGGACUGUUGUUGUGGUGGUGGCGCCGGAGGUAAAGAGAAAGGGGGAGAGAGAAAAGGAGAAAAAAUAAAGAGGGCGGUGACAACAAUCAUGGCUGUUGCUGUUAAGGCCAUGGUGUUGAUAGAGGGGGAAGAGAGAGAGGAGAGGGAGGUGCAGUUGUGAGGGAUGAAAUGGUUAGGCUUUGGGGUAAUUGGGUAUAAA
rnacentral:lncRNA from 1 species